ensembl:lncRNA
GCAUUCCUUUACUUUGAAAUGAUGGUGGCCUCAGGUUGAUUUAAAAAGGUGAAUACACCAAUGGAUGCUCAUGAGCUACCGUUCCUCCCUCACAGAAUCCCACAAAGCUGGGUAAAAUUGUCAGGAGGAUCCGCUCUGGAAGACGGUGUUUGGACUCAGGUGCAACACUUUUUUUAAAACAUAAAUCCCACACCUGAAAAGCACAUUUGGAUUCCUUCACUAUUCUGAGAAUUCUCCUGCCACAGAAACCCAAGCUGUAUUCUAAAUAGUUGCUUCCAUAUGAGGUCAGUGAAUUCCAAUCAGCUAGUUGCCACUCUGAAUUCUGUCACUUAGAGUGGGUGAAAAUUCUCCAUGGAAACUAAAAGCCGUUUUGAAGAUAAUCUACCACUAAGGGCUUAAACAUAAAUCCUUCUUGAAAAAAAAAUUCUUUUUAAAUGAGUGAUAAUUGAAGAUAUUUUCCCUUUAACUGAAGAGAAAAGGUCUUUCAGCCAUUAAAAUGGUUACUAUUAUUUGACCAUUUGGGCACCUAGAUAGAGCUGGCAAUUGCAGCUCUUGCUCCCAGUGACGAGAGCCUUGCUUAGUAAAGAUAGCCAGAAGAGGGAUUAAUAUUUCAGGGUAAAUAAUAGACCCUGUGACCACCGAUUUACAGAUCUAAGCCCUCAUGAAUCAAGCUGAAGGCGUCAUCUACAUGAAGUCUCCACCCUCAUCAGCUCUCUGACUUCCACAUGAAAAGAAAAACCACUUCCAAAGCCCUGUUAAAUUUCUGAUUAAUAGAUUGGUCAGGUACGGAGCCAAGCUUUGAAAGGGACUGCAGUUUAUGCUUUGUACAAGCCCAUGGAUCAUUUAGGAUGAAUAGAGAGCCCUCAGUGACCAAGUUAAGGGCAUCACUCAUGCAGCAACUUAAAAUGCAGUCUCAGAAUUUGUUUGGCCUUCCAGUUGGCAUAACAGCCCAUAAACACUCCAGCUGGGCAAUGAGGAGUCUGAGCCAAUCGUCAUCACCUGAGCUGCCAAGUUUGGCGGACGCUUCUCUUUUCAUGUCCAGACUUCAAAUGUGUGUGCAGCAAAGGAGGAAGAUGUGGACCAUGCUCUUGAAUGGUGCUCUAGGAAGAACUGGGUUUCUCUUAUCCACAAGUGCCUUCUUAUACCAAGGACUGGUCUAUCCAUCUUCAUUUACACUGUGGAGAGAAACUGUACAGGAAAGCCUCUAUGGUGAAAACACCAUGAAGAAGCCUAGAAUCAUGGGAAUGUUCCUGCUCAGGCUUUGUGGAAGUCACCCACCUAGGGUUUCUCACGAAGAAAUAAUCAUAACACUUCUCAGCUGGCCUCUGGUUUAUGAACUGAAUGAUUCUUCAGGCAUGUUAGACUAUUUCAUUGCAGGGGUAGAAAGGAAUCAUGAACCCUUUCAGGGUGUUUGGGAACCACUGCAAUUUAUUUUAGUAUUUCUUUAAUAUUCCAACAUAUUAAAUAAUUUUAAUGAUCUCUUGUUUGUCCAUUUAUUGGGUUCUAUAUUCUAAAAUACACAAAUUCAGAACCAAUUACCAUAGACAGGUUGCUAAUAAAACUUUACAAACAUAAUAGACA